CGAUGGAUUACACUGCUACUCACACAAGAGUUCAAAUUUGAGUCUAUCCUGAGAAUAUGGGAUACACUUCUGAGUAAUCCUUUUGGUGUUCAGGAUAUGCUUCUUCGUGUCUGUUGUGCAAUGCUACUUUGCGUGAAAAGCAAUCUCUUGGGUGGGGAUUUUGUGGCUAAUUUGAAGCUUUUACAACACUAUCCUGAGGAUAUCAACUUAGAAUACCUUCUCCAGGUAGCCCAGGACAUUAGUCCUGACACUUCUUCUUAUUGCUUAUCCCUUUGAUUGAUUUAUACAUAUCCAACUCCUUUUUGUAUAAUUGCGUUAUCAUGUUUUGUAAACUCAAUGUUAGUUGAAUACCUAAUAGAGGAAGAAAAUUUCUGUCAUAAA